UUUCUAAUGUUUUUCAUGUUUAAUUGAAGCAGUAGAUUGUUAUUCAAGAUUCUUCUUGGCUUUGAUUCUGAGAUUUUUGCAAUUUGAAAGUUUAAUCAAAGGUUACUGUGAUUUUUUUUGGAUAUUUUUCUAUGAUUUGUGAUUUUGAGUUGUGGUGUUUUCUCUUUUUCCCGUUGUUGAGAUGUUGAUAAAAUUUCUGUCCAGAAUUGUUGCUUUACACUAUUUGCUGAUUCGGUUUGGUUUGCAUUGGUUUUGAAAUUAAAACUGAUUUCGGUUCGGUUUCAUUUAGUUUUGUGGAAAAAAACUAAAAGAGUCACGCGAUGGAGAAUUUGGAGAGAUGUGCGUCGAUAAAAAAAGUCAUGAAUUGGAAAGGGGUUUACCCACAGAAUCGCUCUCACUCGCUCAACGCGCUCUUUCUGCGAGUGGGUACGAAAUAGAGCCUUCUGAUUGGCUUAGAAACUCUAAAAAAACUCAAAUAGUAUACAUGUUGCUAGCUAUGUUAUUAUUUGAUAAAGUUUUGUACUUGCAUCUUUUUUUCAGUCACCGGAAGUUGGAAGUUCGUUUGUGAUAGGAUCUAAACAAGUAUCAAAGUCUACAAAUUCUGGAUUAAGCAAGUUAAAGACUUGUGAUUCCCCUGUAUCUUCAACAACCUCGUCUUCCAAAACUUUAUCCAAAGACAUCUGUGGAUAACCAUAGCAAGCCGCAGUUACAUUAUACAGGAAAGGUACCACUUAAGGCUUUGCAUUCCAAAGAAAAUGUCACAGUCACUUUGUUUGAUAUGUUUGUUCUGUGGAUUGUUAACAUUCCAUAAAGUCGAUAUGGAUCUUGCAUAGGCUUGCUUACUCUUUUGAUCCAGU
rnacentral:sRNA from 1 species